GCCGGGCACAGUGGCGCGUGUCUGUAGUCCCAGCUACUCGGGAGGCUGAAGUGGGAGGAGUGCUUGAGCCCAGGAGUUCUGGGCUGCAAUGCGCUAUGCCAGUCGCGUGUCUGCACUAAGUUCAGCAUCAAUAUGGUGACCUCCCGGGAGCAGGGGACCAUCAGGUUGCCUAAGGAGGAGUGAACCGGCCCAGGUCGGAAACAGAGCAGGUCAAAACUCCCGUGCUGCCAGGCGCGGUGGCUCACGCCUAUAAUCCCAGCACUUUGGGAGGCCGAGGAGGGUGGAUCAGGAGGUCAAGAGAUCAAGACCAUCCUGGUCAACAUGGUGAAACCCCGGCUCUA
ensembl:misc_RNA Metazoa_SRP Metazoan signal recognition particle RNA